GGGAACCUGCUCCGAGCGCAGCCGCUCCCCGUGCUGAGGGCGCUCGUCGUGCCCCGCCGGCUCCGCGCCGUGACGGAGCCCGCCCCGCCCUCCGCGCUGCCCGGCCCCUGAGCGGCGGCUGCCCGCCGAGGAACCCUCACCCCCACUGCGGGGGCAGCGAGCGCCGCACAAAAUGUCCUCGGGGCUCAACCUCCUUCCCGGGCAGGGCAGCCGAGAGCGCAGCGCCCCCAGCCCUGGCUGCCUUUGCCCUUCGUUAGGGAACUUAAAGCUGUGCCGGGGAACGGGUCCCCGCUGCAGACUGUUCAGACGGCACAUGAGAAGAGAGGCUAGAAACUUGACGAGUCUCCUCCAGCAUCUCCUCUCUCCGAACAGAUCUAACAAUUUCUUACCCCUACGUUUUAAUUGUUUGAAAACAAUAUGUGGUUUCAGAUCUUGGAUUGUUUUAUCUCAUGCGUUCACCCGUAACUUCCAAGGGGUAUUUGCAGCCAUACCUUAACACAUUUCACCCAGAGAAGUUUAUGUCUCUUCCUAGCAGAGUCUUGGGUUAGUGCUCUGGUUAAGGGAGAUCCUCAUGAGUGCCAAGCAUCAUGGCAACUACCCUGUUGUUCUUUUCUACCAAUAUCCAAGAUAUAAAGAGAGAAGCUUCUCUCCUUCUAUGAGAGUUCAGAGAGAGUGAGAAAAGAGCAAUCGAGACAGAGCGCUCAGAUAUGUUGAUACUCCAAAUAACUCCUUCUUUGGCAACAAUACUUUGCUCCCAUGGAGUUAAUCCAGGCUAC